rnacentral:rRNA from 1 species
GACGUAGGGGGCCAGCGUUGCUCGGAAUUACUGGGUGUAAAGGGUUCGUAGGCGGUGCGGCAAGUCGGGAGUGAAAUCUCUGGGCUUAACCCAGAGGCUGCUUCCGAAACUGCUGUGCUUGAGUGUGGGAGAGGCGCGUGGAAUUGCAGGUGUAGCGGUGAAAUGCGUAGAUAUCUGCAGGAACACCCGUGGCGAAAGCGGCGCGCUGGACCACUACUGACGCUGAGGAACGAAAGCUAGGGGAGCAAACAGG